rnacentral:rRNA from 1 species
CCUACGGGUGGCAGCAGUGGGGAAUAUUGCUCAAUGGGGGAAACCCUGAUGCAGCAACGCCGCGUGAAGGAAGACGGUUUUCUGAUUGUAAACUUCUGUUCUUAGUGAAGAAUAAUGACGGUAGCUUACGAGCAAGCCACGGCUCACUACGUGCCAGCAGCCGCGGUAAUACGGAGGUGGCAAGCGUUGUCCGGAAUUACUGGGUGUAAAGGGAGUGCAGGCGGGAAGCCAAGUCCGCUGUGAAAACUACGGGCUUAACGUGUAGACUGCAGUUGAAACUGGUUUUCUUGAGUGAAGUAGAGGUAGGCGGAAUGCCGGGUGUAGCGGUGAAAUGCGUAGAUAUUCCGAAGAACACCGGUGGCGAAGGCGGCCAACUGGGCUUUAACUGACGCUGAGGCUCGAAAGUGUGGGGAGCAAACAGGAUUAGAUACCCUUGUAGUC